ACCUGUUAGAUUGAAAUUCUGGAGAAGGCGUAUUGAAGAAAAAAUGCAGGUUAAACUUGUUGUUAAAAUGAAGUUAAUGUAAUUUCACAAACAGUAGAGUUAAUGAGUUUUUCCAUUAACAAGAAUUUCUUAAAAUAAUAAUGUAUGGAUAUCAUUUGGAAAGUGACAUGAAAUGUUGUUAAAAAGUGAUGCAUACAAGUGUUUCAGAAGUCUGUCUAGGAAUAGAACAACAACUGAAGCUGACCAGUUGAUGGAAGAUACUGCAGAGUUUGGCAGGGAAAUAACCCAAGACAGCAAAGCGGCUCUUUUGGCGCAUUUACCAAGAGGACUAACAUGGCCACAAAUUCAUGAGAUCAUGCAGGAGCCCUACAGUAUAACAGCAGUACAAGUUCUAUAAAAGAUCCACGACCUACUGAAGCCCAGCUAAUUAACAAAAAAGUUUUUAAAAACUGUAAUUUUAUCCCACCUGGGUACUUAUAAUUUACUAAGCUGCCUACACAAGUUUUAGAUUUGCAAUUAUAUUUUAAAUUGUCACUUGGAAAGUAAUACAUGUACAUCUAUUAUGUUCUGAAUUUCUUUGAACAAUAAAAUUAUAUAAAAGUAUUUUAAUGAAAUUAAGCACCUAAA